UACGUAGGGGGCUAGCGUUGUCCGGAAUCAUUGGGCGUAAAGAGCGUGUAGGCGGUCCGGUAAGUCCGCUGUGAAAGUCGGGGGCUCAACCCUCGAAUGCCGGUGGAUACUGUCGGGCUAGAGUGCGGAAGAGGCGAGUGGAAUUCCUGGUGUAGUGGUGAAAUGCGUAGAGAUCCGGAGGAACACCAGUGGCGAAGGCGACACGCUGGGCCGUACCUGACGCUAAAGCGCGACAGCAUGGGGAGCAAACGGG
rnacentral:rRNA from 1 species